rnacentral:tRNA from 1 species
GGGGCGUUAGCUCAACAGCGAGAGCGCUGGACUGUCGAUCCAGGAGAUGUGGGUUCGAGUCCCAUACGCCCCGCCA